GCUGGGGUAGCUGAGUCAUUAGAGCAUGAGACUCUUAAUCUCAAGGUUAAGGGUUCGAGCCCCGUGUUGGGCA